rnacentral:rRNA from 1 species
GAACGCGAAGAACCUUACCCGGGCUUGAACUAACGGUGACAGAUCUAGAGAUAGAUUUUUCUUCGGACACCGUUGGAGGUGCUGCAUGGUUGUCGUCAGCUCGUGCCGUGAGGUGUCGGCUUAAGUGCCAUAACGAGCGCAACCCUUCUCCUCGGUUGCCAUCGGGUAAUGCCGGGCACUCCGUGGACACUGCCAUCGUAAGAUGUGAGGAAGGUGGGGAUGACGUCAAAUCAGCACGGCCCUUACGUCCGGGGCUACACACGUGUUACAAUGGGGGGUACAGAAGGCCGCUACCCGGCGACGGGAUGCUAAUCUUUAAAACCUCUCUCAGUUCGGAUCGGAGUCUGCAACCCGACUCCGUGAAGCUGGAUUCGCUAGUAAUCGCGCAUCAGCCAUGGCGCGGUGAAUACGUUCCCGGGUCUUGUACACACC